rnacentral:rRNA from 1 species
CUACGGGCCGCAGCAGUGAGGAAUAUUGCGCAAUGGGGGAAACCCUGACGCAGCGACGCCGCGUGGAUGAUGAAGGCCUUCGGGUCGUAAAAUCCUGUCAGAAGGAAAGAAGUGUAUGGUAGCUAAUAUCUGCCAUACUUGACGGUACCUUCAAAGGAAGCACCGGCUAACUCCGUGCCAGCAGCCGCGGUAAUACGGAGGGUGCAAGCGUUGUUCGGAAUUACUGGGCGUAAAGCGCGCGUAGGCGGUUUUAUAAGUCAGAUGUGAAAGUCCACGGCUCAACCAUGGAAGUGCAUUUGAAACUGUAAGACUUGAGUAUUGGAGGGGGUAGUGGAAUUCCCGGUGUAGAGGUGAAAUUCGUAGAUAUCGGGAGGAAUACCGGUGGCGAAGGCGACUAUCUGGCCAAGUACUGACGCUGAGGUGCGAAAGCGUGGGGAGCAAACAGGAUUAGAUACCCGCGUAGUC